rnacentral:tRNA from 1 species
AUCCGUCGACUUUAAAAGUC